rnacentral:rRNA from 1 species
UACGGAGGGUGCAAGCGUUAUCCGGAUUCACUGGGUUUAAAGGGUGCGUAGGCGGAUUAGUAAGUCCGUGGUGAAAUCUCCGAGCUUAACUCGGAAACUGCCGUGGAUACUAUUAGUCUUGAAUGUUGUGGAGGUUAGCGGAAUAUGUCAUGUAGCGGUGAAAUGCAUAGAUAUGACAUAGAACACAAAUUGCGAAGGCAGCUGGCUACACAAAUAUUGACGCUGAUGCACGAAAGCGUGGGGAUCAAACAGG